rnacentral:rRNA from 1 species
GACGGAGGAUGCAAGCGUUAUCCGGAAUGAUUGGGCGUAAAGCGUCCGCAGGUGGCAGUUCAAGUCUGCUGUCAAAGACCGGGGCUUAACUUCGGAAAGGCAGUGGAAACUGAACAGCUAGAGUAUGGUAGGGGCAGAGGGAAUUCCUGGUGUAGCGGUGAAAUGCGUAGAUAUCAGGAAGAACAUCGGUGGCGAAGGCAGCCCCCUGGGUCAAGAUUGACGCUCAUGCACGAAAGCGUGGGGAGCAAACAGG